CGAUGGCUAGCAGACUGGUGAUGGAAAUGGUGAUCGAGGGGACGACGACGCUAAUUUUCAUACACCAGAGAAGCAUUGUCGUCCACCCCCGGCUGAUGAUGAUCCUUUUACUAGUUUAUAGUUCAUUUGUAUUCAUUUUAUUCAUUAAACUAUAGAUCCUUUGUACAUAUUGUAGUCUAAUUGAGUCUGUACGAGUUUUGUAAAUCAUAUUGUAU
rnacentral:lncRNA from 1 species